rnacentral:rRNA from 1 species
UACGUAGGGUGCGAGCGUUAAUCGGAAUUACUGGGCGUAAAGCGUGCGCAGGCGGUGAUGUAAGACAGAUGUGAAAUCCCCGGGCUCAACCUGGGAACUGCAUUUGUGACUGCAUCGCUGGAGUGCGGCAGAGGGGGAUGGAAUUCCGCGUGUAGCAGUGAAAUGCGUAGAUAUGCGGAGGAACACCGAUGGCGAAGGCAAUCCCCUGGGCCUGCACUAACGCUCAUGCACGAAAGCGUGGGGAGCAAACAGG